rnacentral:rRNA from 1 species
AAGGUUUCCAGAGUAAAGCUGAUCUGCUCUGGGUAAGUCGGGACCUAAGGCGAGGUCGAAAGACGUAGUCGAUGGAUAACAGGUUGAAAUUCCUGUACCGCAUAUAAACAGAACUGUGGGGACACAGACAGGGAAUGGAAUCCGGGAAUGGAAAUCCCGGUGCAAGCGAGGUAGGAGUGCUGUUGGCAAAUCCGCAGCACGAUCUGAAGACGUGACGCGUACCGAACAUAAGUAGGGAAGUCCAGGCCCCUGGCUGUCAAGAAAAGCCGCUAUUGUUUUAUAUGUGCCCGUACCGCAAACCGACACAGGUGGAUGAGGAGAGAAUCCUAAGGCCGACGGGAGAAGUAUUGUUAAGGAACUCGGCAAAAUGACUCCGUAACUUCGGGAGAAGGAGUGCCAUGAGAGUGGCCGCAGAGAAAUGGCCCAAGCAACUGUUUAGCAAAAACACAGGUCUAUGCAAAACCGCAAGGUGAAGUAUAUGGGCUGACGCCUGCCCGGUGCUGGAAGGUUAAGGGGAGAGGUUAGCGCAAGCGAAGCUUUGAACUUAAGCCCCAGUAAACGGCGGCCGUAACAAUAACGGUCCUAAGGUAGCGAAAUUCCUUGUCGGGUAAGUUCCGACCCGCACGAAAGGCGUAAUGAUUUGGGCACUGUCUCAACGAUACACCCGGUGAAAUUGAAAUACCAGUGAAGAUGCUGGUUACCUGCGCCAGGACGGAAAGACCCCAUGGAGCUUUACUCCAGUUUGAUACUGGGAUUCGGCAUGGUAUGUACAGGAUAGGUGGGAGACUGAGAAGGUAUGACGUCAGUUGUACCGGAGUCGCUGUUGGGAUACCACCCUUACCAUGUUGGAUUUCUAACCUGUGGCCGUAAGCCGGUCAGGGGACAAUGUCAGGCGGGGAGUUUGACUGGGGCGGUCGCCUCCGAAAGGGUAUCGGAGGCGCUCAAAGGUUCCCUCAGAAUGGUUGGAAACCAUUCGAAGAGUGCAAAGGCAGAAGGGAGCUUGACUGUGACACCGACGGGUGGAGCAGGUACGAAAGUAGGACUUAGUGAUCCGGUGGUAUAAAGUGGGAUUGCCAUCGCUCAACGGAUAAAAGCUACCCUGGGGAUAACAGGCUUAUCACUCCCAAGAGUUCACAUCGACGGAGUGGUUUGGCACCUCGAUGUCGGCUCAUCGCAUCCUGGAGCUGUAGCAGGUUCCAAGGGUUGGGCUGUUCGCCCAUUAAAGCGGUACGCGAGCUGGGUUCAGAACGUCGUGAGACAGUUCGGUCCCUAUCCGGCGCAGGCGGAGGAAAUUUGAUAGGAGCUGUCCUUAGUACGAGAGGACCGGGAUGGACGGACCGCUGGUGUAUCUGUUGCACUGCCAAGUGCAUAGCAGAGUAGCCAAGUCUGGAAGGGAUAAACGCUGAAGGCAUCUAAGCGUGAAGCCCCCCUAAAGAUAAGAUUUCCCAUACCAUAAGGUAGUAAGACCCCUUGAAGACGACGAGGUAGAUAGGGCAGAGGUGGAAGUACGGUAACGUAUGGAGCUGACUGUUACUAAUCGGUCGAGGCUUUAACC